AACGAACGCUGGCGGCAUGCCUAACACAUGCAAGUCGAACGAGAACUUCGGGUCUAGUGGCGCACGGGUGCGUAACGCGUGGGAAGCUGCACUUAGGUUAGGAGUAACUCCCCGAAAGGGGUGCUAAUACCGGAUAAUGUCUUCGGACCAAAGAUUUAUCGCCUUUGGAUGGGCGCGCGUUGGAUUAGCUAGUUGGUAGGGUAAAAGCAUACCAAGGCGACGAUCCAUAGCUGGUGUGAGAGGAUGAUCAGCCACACUGGGACUGAGACACGGCCCAGACUCCUACGGGAGGGAGCAGUGGAUAAUAUUGUACAAGGGGCGAAAGCCUGACCAAGCAAUGCCGGGUAAGUGAUGAAGGCCUUAGGGUUGUAAAGCUCUUUUACCCGGGAUGAUAAUGACAGUACCGGGAGAAUAAGCUCCGGCUAACUCCGUG
rnacentral:rRNA from 1 species